rnacentral:rRNA from 1 species
UACCAGCACCCCGAGUGGUCGGGACGUUUAUUGGGCCUAAAGCAUCCGUAGCCGGUUCUACAAGUCUUCCGUUAAAUCCAGCUGCUUAACAGAUGGGCUGCGGAAGAUACUAUGGAGCUAGGAGGCGGGAGAGGCAAGCGGUACUCGAUGGGUAGGGGUAAAAUCCGUUGAUCCAUUGAAGACCACCAGUGGCGAAGGCGGCUUGCCAGAACGCGCUCGACGGUGAGGGGUGAAAGCUGGGGGAGCAAACCGG